rnacentral:rRNA from 1 species
AGCUACUAAGAGCGAAUGGUGGAUGCCUUGGUUGGUAGAGGCGAUGAAAGACGUGCUAGACUGCGAUAAGUCUCGGGGAGUUGUCAAGGAGCUUUGAUCCGGGAAUUUCUGAAUGGGGCAACCCAGUAUAUAGUGAUAUAUACUACCUAUAUGGAGCAAACGUGGGGAAUUGAAACAUCUUAGUACCCACAGGAAAAGAAAUCAAAUGAGAUUACGAAAGUAGCGGCGAGCGAAAUCGUAAAAGGGCAAACCACUAGUUUACUAGUGGGGUUGUAGGACUGUAACAUAGACUAAAAAGAGUUAAUAGAAUAAUCUGGAAAGUUUAAGCAUAGAGGGUGAUACUCCCGUAUAUGAAAACUCUUUUUUACUUAACAGUAUCCUGAGUAGGGCGAGGCACGUGAAACCUUGUCUGAAUCUGGGAAGACCACUUUCCAACCCUAAAUACUACUACCAAACCGAUAGUGAACAAGUACCGUGAGGGAAAGGUGAAAAGAACGGGGGUGACCCGAGUGAAAUAGAACCUGAAACCAUUUGCUUACAAUCAUUCAGAGCACGAUUCUUUAUGACGUGUGAUGGACUGCCUUUUGCAUAAUGAGCCUGCGAGUUGUGAUAUCUGGCAAGGUUAAGGAAAUCCGGAGCCGUAGCGAAAGCAAGUCUUAAUAGGGCGUUUAGUCAGAUAUUGCAGACCCGAAACGAAGUGAUCUAUCCAUGAGCAGGUUGAAACCGGUGUAAGAGCCGGCGGAGGACCGAACCCGCUGACGUUGAAAAGUCUUGGGAUGACUUGUGGAUAGGGGUGAAAGGCCAAUCAAACUUCGUGAUAGCUGGUUCUCUCCGAAAUAUAUUUAGGUAUAGCGUUAUGUAGUAAUUAGAGGGGGUAGAGCACUGAAUGGGCUAGGGCAUACACCAAUGUACCAAACCCUAUCAAACUCCGAAUACCUUUAAUGUAAUCAUAGCAGUCAGGCGGCGAGUGAUAAAAUCCGUCGUCAAAAGGGGAACAACCCAGACUACCGACUAAGGUCCCAAAAUCUUAUUUAAGUGGAAAACGAUGUGAAGUUACUUAAACAACCAGGAGGUUGGCUUAGAAGCAGCCAUCCUUUAAAGAUAGCGUAAUAGCUCACUGGUCUAGUGAUUUUGCGCGGAAAAUAUAACGGGGCUAAAAUAAGUACCGAAGUCGUAGACUUAGUUUUACUAAGUGGUAGGAGAGCGUUGUAUUUAGCGUUGAAGAUGUACCGGUAAGGAGCGUUGGAGCAAAUACAAGUGAGCAUGCAGGCAUGAGUAGCGUUAAAUCAGGUGAGAAUCCUGAUCGCCGAAAACCCAAGGUUUCCUACGCGAUGCUCGUCAUCGUAGGGUUAGUCGGGUCCUAAGCAAAGUCCGAAAGGGGUAUGCGAUGGAAAAUUGGUUAAUAUUCCAAUACCAAUUAUUAUGUGCGAUGGAAGGACGCUUAAAGUUAGUGGAGCUAACUGAUGGAAUAGUUAGUCUAAGGUCGUAGGUUGAGUUAUAGGCAAAUCCGUAACUCUUUAUCCGAAAGCUUAAAGGCUUACAAAGCUCUUCGGAGUAGCGUAAGAAUCCAUGAUACUAUAGAGCCAAGAAAAGUUUCUAAGUUUAGUAAUAAUUGCCCGUACCGUAAACCGACACAGGUGGGUGGGAUGAGUAUUCUAAGGCGCGUGGAAGAACUCUCUUUAAGGAACUCUGCAAAAUAGCACCGUAUCUUCGGUAUAAGGUGUGCCUACCAGGGUGCAAGCCCUAGAGGUUACAACAAAGAGUCCCUCCCGACUGUUUACCAAAAACACAGCACUCUGCUAACACGUAAGUGGAUGUAUAGGGUGUGACGCCUGCCCGGUGCUCGAAGGUUAAUUGAUGGAGUUAGCAUUAGCAAAGCUCUUGAUCGAAGCCCGAGUAAACGGCGGCCGUAACUAUAACGGUCCUAAGGUAGCGAAAUUCCUUGUCGGUUAAAUACCGACCUGCAUGAAUGGCGUAACGAGAUGGGAGCUGUCUCAAAGAGGGAUCCAGUGAAAUUGUAGUGGAGGUGAAAAUUCCUCCUACCCGCGGCAAGACGGAAAGACCCCGUGGACCUUUACUAUAGCUUGACACUGCUACUUGGAUAAAGAUGUGCAGGAUAGGUGGGAGAUUAUGAUCUAUAGAUGCUAGUCUAUAAGGAGUCAUCCUUGAGAUACCACUCUUCUUUAUUCGGGUAGCUAACUAGCCUAAGUUAUCCUUAGGUAGGACAAUGUCUGGUGGGUAGUUUGACUGGGGCGGUCGCCUCCCAAAUAAUAACGGAGGCUUACAAAGGUUGGUUCAAAACGGUUGGAAAUCGUUUGUAGAGUAUAAAGGCAAAAACCAGCUUAACUGCGACACCGACAAGUGGAGCAGAGACGAAAGUCGGUCUUAGUGAUCCGGUGGUUCUGUGUGGAAGGGCCAUCGCUCAAAGGAUAAAAGGUACCCCGGGGAUAACAGGCUGAUCUCCCCCAAGAGCUCACAUCGACGGGGAGGUUUGGCACCUCGAUGUCGGCUCAUCGCAUCCUGGGGCUGGAGCAGGUCCCAAGGGUAUGGCUGUUCGCCAUUUAAAGCGGUACGCGAGCUGGGUUCAGAACGUCGUGAGACAGUUCGGUCCCUAUCUGCCGUGGGCGUAAGAAGAUUGAGGAGAGUUGACCCUAGUACGAGAGGACCGGGUUGAACCAACCACUGGUGUAUAAGUU